GUGGAUAUUUCCUAUCUGAUCGGCACCAAUAUUCCUGUGCGUAUAUUGGGUAGGCAGACGAUUGAUAACCACAUUUCUACAGAGCCUGUCCCGUACUACAUCCCGGGAGUGCUCAUACAUGAAACAGGCGACCCGUUCCUAACCAUUUGAAGGCCAAGUACAUCCCGCGAUAUGAAUUUGAAGGCGAUUUUGUUGGCAAUCCUAGCCGUGCUGCUUGGACUGCACAUCGUGCAUGUGAAUGCUUCCUGUAACCGGGCAGAAAUGAAAUGGUCAGUCCCAGACUGUGCCAAACACUGCCGAUGUGAGUGUCGUCAACCUGCUUCGUUCUGCACUAGGGUGUGCAAGACCAAGGCAAUACACUGCUAAAAGAAGGUGCUUGAUGCCAAGAAUCUCAGAACCAAUUUCAAACCAUCACGAAAAUUACUGACCAUUCUACUGUAUAGUAAAGAAGAUGACAUUCUAACUGAAUAGGAAUUAUAUAUGGAA